rnacentral:rRNA from 1 species
AGUGAACGCUGGCGGUAGGCCUAACACAUGCAAGUCGAACGGCAGCACAGUAAGAGCUUGCUCUUACGGGUGGCGAGUGGCGGACGGGUGAGGAAUACAUCGGAAUCUACUUUUUCGUGGGGGAUAACGUAGGGAAACUUACGCUAAUACCGCAUACGACCUACGGGUGAAAGCAGGGGAUCUUCGGACCUUGCGCGAUUGAAUGAGCCGAUGUCGGAUUAGCUAGUUGGCGGGGUAAAGGCCCACCAAGGCGACGAUCCGUAGCUGGUCUGAGAGGAUGAUCAGCCACACUGGAACUGAGACACGGUCCAGACUCCUACGGGAGGCAGCAGUGGGGAAUAUUGGACAAUGGGCGCAAGCCUGAUCCAGCCAUACCGCGUGGGUGAAGAAGGCCUUCGGGUUGUAAAGCCCUUUUGUUGGGAAAGAAGAGCAGCAGGUUAAUAUCCCGCUGUUCUGACGGUACCCAAAGAAUAAGCACCGGCUAACUUCGUG